CUUGCACUUUCCCCAUCACCCCAACCCUAACUGAAUUAGAGGGCAAGCACUGCGCUAGUAGAGCGAACGACGGCGAGCACGGUGCUGGCGGAGCGAAGCAAACGACGGCAAGGGACUACCUACGGGCUGAUGGCGUAGCACGGUGCGACGGCUCCCCCUCUGGGCAAGCUCGACGGCGGCAGGGAACAUGUACUAGGUAUUGGUUCGAGGAAGAAUAUGUGGUGUUCUUUCAUUAUAACGGAUAUCUACCAAUGACUUCCUCGAUCGUUGCAGCAGCUUCGACAAUAGAAGUUCCUAAGAUUGUGAGAAGAAUUGUUAGCUUAGAGAAAAAUCUGAAUGAGGUGAAGGACAAAGUUGGCAACAACAGGGAAGGAAUGGGAAGCUGCAUUUGUCUUGUGUGCGGAUGUGUGAAUGUAACACUAUUCCUGUUGUUGGCCAUCGUUUUGCUUGUAGUUGUAGUGCUCAAGUAGGCAAGGCUGAUGAAGUAUGGGCAUUUCUGUUGAAGUUGUGUGUUGAAGAACACAAUGUAUUGAAUCUGUUGUAUUUGCAUUUGCUAUGAAGUAUGGGCCUUUAUGGGCAUUCCAUGA